GUGAAGUUGAGAGGAGUCCAGUGGUGCCAUUUUCAGAUGUGUUAGUGAGGUCUCAAGGAGCUUGGGAAUGCUUCGUUGGGUGAAUUUGGACGUCGGGAAAGCAAGGUUCAAAGUUGGCCGAUUUUAGAUUGUGUGGACAUGUGAUACGUACUCCGAGGACGAGCGUAUUCACUCGAGG